GCUCGGAGGCGUCGCGGAGCUGGGGCCGGCGCGGCGCGGAGGCAGGAGAGCGAGAGGGGGCCCUGCCCGGGAGACCAGGGUGGGAGGCCUGCGGGAGGCAGCUGGCCUGGAGCUGAGCCUGGAGCGGUCCCGGCCCGGCAGGCCCUGGGAGCCCGGGGGAGGAGGAGCCAAGUGAUCCCAAAGGGACGCAGAGUCCCUCCCGGGUCCCAGUUGUCCUUUGAAUCCUGGGGGAUUUCGUCCCUGUUUCCUGAGCCUCAGUGGGGACCACAGACCCUCCCUCUGACCUCGAUAGGGACCCCAGGUCCCCCUCCUGAGCCUGGGGGCGUCCUCUAGCCCCCUUCUCUGGACCCCACUGUGUCUCUGAGCCACUAGUCCCCUCUCUCAGACCCAGGGAGACUUUCUCUGAUCUCUCUUCUCUGAAUGGCCUGGGAGACACCCACCCCCUUUUCCUGAAGCCAAGCCAGGACUCCACUGUCCCCUGUGUGAAUGUUGGGGGUCCUACAGCCUUUCUGAGACGCAGGAGUUCUGAUCUCUUCUGAACCCCGGAGGGGACCCAACCUCUCCCUCCCCAGAUUCUGAGCCCAAAAGGAACCAGGAGGCAUCUCCUCUGACACUCAGAGGACCUCAGCAACCCUCCCUGGGUACCCCAAGCUCUGAGCCUUAGUGGGGUGCUCAGAUCCCCUCCCCCCAGGACACCCAGUUUCCCUCUGGUGAUUCACCCCAGUGGGGACCCAGAGCAGCCCCUCAGAGCCUCAGCCAGUGUUCAGUUCUCCUUCCUCUAGAGCCGUGAGGUCCCCCUCCUAGAGACCCAGCUUCUAGCUCUGGGCCUUGGGGGUCCCUUGCUUUUCUUCUGGGUCCCACCUUCCUUGCAGAGUUUUUGCGGCCUCCCCAGGCCCUCCUCGGAAUUUAGAGGGUUUCCGGGGUAGGAGGCUCUAUUUUUUUCUCUUCUAAGCUCCAGAGGUGACCUCGACUCCCCCACUGGAGGUUCCAGGGAAGAUUCCCAUCUUCCUUUCUCAGAAUCCAGUGGAAACUGAGCCCCUCACCUCCUUCAGGACCCCAGGCGCUCCCCUCCCCGCUCCCCAGCUCUGCGUCCUUUGCACCUGUUCUGAGCCCCGUGGGCUGCGGCCUCUAGGAUGAUGAUGUGGUCCAACUUUUUCAUGCAAGAGGAGGACCGGCGGCGUCGGGAGGCUGUGGGCCGGCGGCGGGCUCAGGGGCAGCACCAGUUGACGCCGGAGCGGGAGGGGAAGAUCAAGCUGGGGCUCCUGCUGAGCGCCGUGGGCUCCACGCUGGCCGUGCUGGCCGUGGGCACCGAGUUCUGGGUAGAGCUCAACACCUACAAGAUCAAUGGCAGCGCUAUCUGCGAUGCUGCCCACCUGGGGCUCUGGAAGAUGUGCACCAAGCGACUGUGGCAGGCCGACGUGCCCGCGGGCAGAGACACCUGCGGCCCCGCAGAGCUGCCUGGAGAAGCAAACUGUACCUAUUUUAAAUUCUUUACUACGGGGGAGAAUGCGCGCAUCUUCCAGAGAACUACAAAGAAAGAGGUAAAUCUGGCAGCUGCAGUGAUAGCAGUGCUAGGCCUGGCAGUCAUGGCCUUGGGGUGCCUCUGUAUCAUCAUGGUGCUCAGCAAAGGUGCAGAUUUCCUACUCCGAGUUGGAGCCGUCUGCUUUGGCCUCUCAGAACCCUGGCUGAGGAAAAGAACUCGGAUCUUGGAAGCUGCUUUCAUGUUCUUAGCUGAGCUCAUCCCCACCUCCAGCUCCAAGAUUACCAACCACAACCUGGAUUUUGACCUGAAGAAGAUUCAAGCUCAUGGCCAGAGGGACAGAUGAGACCCACAGACAUAUUUGUUUAGCCUUCACGAUGUUUACAAGGAUACAUGACACUGAUACAACAUGCCUCCUCUUGACUGCAACAGUUUCCGGACUCCUUGUUCUGAAUGACCUUGAUGGUUUGAAUGACCUUGAUGGUUUGAAUGACUUUGAUGGUUUUGAGGAGUGCUGCUCAGGUGUCAGGGCUGGGGUUCAUGUUCACCUGAAGGUGUGGAAGAGCGGUGUUGGAAUUAGAAGAGUUAUGUUGUUUUUGUGUGUUUGUGUCCAAGAGCUGUGAGUCCCCACGCAGGAGGGUAGCAAGCACCCCAGUUCCUGGCUUCAAGCUCCGAGGGGGAUAGCUUCCACUGGACCGCUCAGAGCAUUCAGUAUGGGGUCAGGGCAGGCUCAGAGAGGAAUAGGGUCCGGCUCAAGUUUGAACCAUCUCGAGGGCUCAAGGUUGUGGCUCACAGCUCUGCAGACAUUUGGGACAGAAUGAAGGAAUCAGGUGUCUUUUGUGCUUUCCACCAGCGCCACCUGGAGGUGGAAGGUGAACCCUGCAGAGAGGCUGGAAAUGGGCUGAUGGACCCCAAAGACAGAGCAGGCGGUCCUUCUUUGAGCACCUGGAGGAGAUGCGUUUACAGGCACCGGGGGGUAUGCAGGGUUCCCAGAAUGACUGAACAAGAAAGCUGCACGGUGAGGGAGGAUGCUGAGUGUUGGAAGCAGUCAGAAGCAAGAAAACAAAAGCUGCAGGCAUCCCAGCUCCUCGGCGGAUGCUCUGAGUCAUCUUCGUGUUUCUCCUUAAAGACCGGCUUCCUCCACAUGGUGAGACAGAUGGCCACCAAGAGCUCCCAAGUUUUAAAGAGAAUGACUUCCCCGACAAGAGGAACAGAGGGAAGGUCAUAUGAAGACACAGCGAGAGG